rnacentral:rRNA from 1 species
GAUAAACGCUAGCGGCAGGCCUAACACAUGCAAGUCGAGGGGCAGCGGAAGAAGUAGCUUGCUACUUCUGCCGGCGACCGGCGCACGGGUGCGUAACGCGUAUGCAACCUACCUUUAACAGGGGGAUAAUCCGAAGAAAUUUGGUCUAAUACCGCAUAAGACCACAGCACCGCAUGGUGCAGGGGUAAAACUCCGGUGGUAUGAGAUGGAUCCGCGUCUGAUUAGCUAGUUGGUAAGGUAACGGCUUACCAAGGCAACGAUCAGUAGCCGACCUGAGAGGGUGACCGGCCACAUUGGGACUGAGACACGGCCCAA